GUUAAGGCACCUGACUUUACGAAAUCAGUUUUGAAACUUGUAGAAAAAUUCGAAAUUUCCAUAAAUCAAACAGUUUCGGAUGAAUUUAAGUUUUUGAAUUUUUCUAGAAUUCAUCUUCUGCACGAGUUGAAACGACACAUUCAGAAAGAGUAUGACUCGUUUUCUACGAUGAUGAGAAACAAAUUUAUCAGCCUUGGGAUAUGUAAAAUACAGAACCGUCCUUGUUGGAACAUUGCGAAAGCGGAUCUUCCGGAAUUUGAGGUUGAUUUAAACUAUGAUGCUAAUGCUUGCGAUGAUAAUUUUGGAGUGCAUAUUCAAUCAUACCGGUAUGAGCAUGUUAAGCUGAACACAAUUAAGAGACUUUUUGAUGCUAUAAAAGCCUUAAAGAAGAAAUGUUUCAAUCAUUCUAAACCGAAUGCUUAUACACGAAGUUGUAUGAAUAAGAUGUUGGUCAGUUCACUGCUUGGAGCCAAAGCAUACUUCAGAAGUCUAGCAAAUUCAAUACAACAGGAAAUUACGAUGCGCCAAUAUGUGACGAAACUAACUGGCAAGUGCUUUGAAAAUGCUUAUCGAUCAAGGAAGCCUUCUUUUGAUCAUGGGAUGCAGAAACUUAAAAAGUGCAUAAACGAUAUGAAGCUUGGGGAAAAGGCACCAGAUAUUGAUGAAAGCCAUUGGAAUUUCUAAUAUUCAUUAGCUGAGUGAUAGCCUUUUUAGUUGGGGAUGGAUGGGGUUGUAUUUAUUUUAUGCUUGUUUUGAGUUUUCAACUGUUUUGUUGUAAUAAAGAGUUAAAAUAGUUCAAACGUGAGCAGGCA